rnacentral:lncRNA from 10 species
GCCAGCUACACCUACAUUAGAAAGAGUGGAACAGAUCACGGGUCACAGGAUUAAGGCUAGAUGGGGUUUGAGAUGUGGGAAGACUUGAGGUCAUUUUGAGUUUUGAGAAAAGGAGAGACAUGAAGAGGCAGAAAACAUGUUUACUGGACCCAGCUACUUUGCAGUGAUUAGUGGGACCUUCAGAACAUAAAUAGAUCCUAAGGAGUGAAUGCUUGUACCCCUUCCAAAAUUUAUAUGCUGAAGCCUUUAUAUGGUUGUAUGUAAAGACAGACCCACUAAUGAAGUAAUUAAGGUUAAAUGGAGUCAUAAGAGAGAGGCCCUAAUUCCAUAAGAUUAGUGUCCUUAUAAGAAGAGACUCCAGAGAACUCACUUUCUCACUCUCUCCCUCCCUUUCCUUGCAUACAAACCAAGGGAAAAUCAUAUGAGAACAUAGCAAGAAGGUAGCUGUCUGAAAGCCAGGAAGAGAGGCCUCAGCAGGAAAUGAAUCAGCAAGAACCUUGAUCUUGGACUUCUAGCCUCCAGAAUUAAAUCCGUCCUGGAAUUUGGCACAUGUAUGGGAUAUGGAUAGAAAAUAAGAGCAAAGAGGAAUUCAAGAUAAUGAGGCAAUAUAAACAAAAGUUGAAAAGAGAAAAUGAGCAUGCAGUGCCUAGAGAUGCCAAGGAAUCCAGAUCACUGAGGUCGGAUAGAUGUGUCUUUCCAGAAUUUGAUGAGGUUAACCAGGUAGAGCCAGAUGGUAGAGAUCCUUGAAUACCAGGCAAGGGAGUUCAUCUCUCCACCUGUUGUUUCACUGUGGGUAACUGCUAAGGCCUUCACCCUUGAUGCCAGAGGUGCUGAAACACAUUGCCACACGGCGAAAGAAGUGCCCUAUUGGCCCAAACACAUUGAAUAAACA